rnacentral:rRNA from 1 species
CAGGGAAGAAAAUGACGGUACCUGACUAAGAAGCCCCGGCUAACUACGUGCCAGCAGCCGCGGUAAUACGUAGGGGGCAAGCGUUAUCCGGAUUUACUGGGUGUAAAGGGAGCGUAGACGGCGUGCCAAGUCUGAUGUGAAAGGCCGGGGCUCAACCCCGGGACUGCAUUGGAAACUGGCAUGCUGGAGUGCCGGAGGGGCAAGCGGAAUUCCUAGUGUAGCGGUGAAAUGCGUAGAUAUUAGGAGGAACACCGGUGGCGAAGGCGGCUUGCUGGACGGUAACUGACGUUGAGGCUCGAAAGCGUGGGGAGCAAACAGGAUUAGAUACCCUGGUAGUCCACGC